ACGGGGGGGGCAAGCGUUGUUCGGAAUUACUGGGCGUAAAGCGCACGUAGGCGGCUUUGUAAGUUAGAGGUGAAAGCCCGGAGCUCAACUCCGGAAUUGCCUUUGAUACUGAAGAUCUUGAGUCCGGGAGAGGUGAGUGGAACUGCGAGUGUAGAGGUGAAAUUCGUAGAUAUUCGCAAGAACACCAGUGGCGGAGGCGGCUCACUGGCCCGGUACUGACGCUGAGGCACGAAAGCGUGGGGAGCAAACAGGA
rnacentral:rRNA from 1 species